GAGUUCAAGAGUACGUGAAACCGCUUAGUAGUAAACAGAGGGGCUCUCGAAGUCGGCGGUGACGGUUCAGGGUGACGGCGGGGCGGCCUGGGGGCUUGGGAUCCGCAAGGACCCUGUCCCUUUGUUGGCUCUGUCGGCGCCUGCACUUCGUUGCCGCCAUACGCGACGAACCGUUUCUGACGGACCGAGGGCGUGGGUGAAGUUUGCGGGCUUCGGCCUUCAAGCCCCGCGUUCCUGGCUCUGUCGGGGACGGGUAGUGGAGCGAUCUCUUAUAGAGAGUGUCCUUGCUGGCACGGUUCGCAUCUCUGUCGCGAGUAGGUCGGCGGCCCCUCUGACCCGUCUUGAAACACGGA
rnacentral:rRNA from 1 species